UUCCGGUUGAUCCCGCCGGACCCGACUGCUAUCAGAGUGGGACUAAGCCAUGCGAGUCGACGUAGCAAUGCGUGGCGAACGGCUCAGUAACACGUAGUCAACAUGCCCAGGGGACGUGGAUAACCUCGGGAAACUGAGAAUAAACCACGAUAGGUCACGAUUUCUGGAAUGGAUCAUGGCCUAAAUCUACAUGGCCCCUGGAUUGGACUGCGGCCGAUCAGGCUGUUGGUGAGGUAAUGGCCCACCAAACCUAUAACCGGUACGGGCUCUGAGAGGAGAAGCCCGGAGAUGGGCACUGAGACAAGGGCCCAGGCCCUAUGGGGCGCAGCAGGCGCGAAACCUCUGCAAUAGGCGAAAGCCUGACAGGGUUACUCUGAGUGAUUUCCGCUAAGGGGAUCUUUUGGCACCUCUAAAAAUGGUGCAGAAUAAGGGGUGGGCAAGUCUGGUGUCAGCCGCCGCGGUAAUACCAGCACCCCGAGUGGUCGGGACGAUUAUUGGGCCUAAAGCAUCCGUAGCCGGUUCUGCAAGUCUUCCGUUAAAUCCAGCCGCUCAACGGAUGGGCCGCGGAGGAUACUACAGGACUAGGAGGCGGGAGAGGCAAGCGGUACUCAGUGGGUAGGGGUAAAAUCCUUUGAUCCAUUGAAGACCACCAGUGGCGAAGGCGGCUUGCCAGAACGCGCUCGACGGUGAGGGAUGAAAGCUGGGGGAGCAAACCGGAUUAGAUACCCGGGUAGUCCCAGCUGUAAACGAUGCAGACUCGGUGAUGGGCUAGCCUUGUGCCAGCCCAGUGCCGCAGGGAAGCCGUUAAGUCUGCCGCCUGGGGAGUACGGUCGCAAGACUGAAAACUAAAGGAAUUGGCGGGGGAGCA
rnacentral:rRNA from 1 species